rnacentral:rRNA from 1 species
AUUGAACGCUGGCGGCAGGCCUAACACAUGCAAGUCGAACGAGUGGCGGACGGGUGCGUAAUGUCUGGGAAACUGCCUGCUGGAGGGGGAUAACUGCUGGAAACUGUAGCUAAUAGCUCAUACCAUCAUAUGUGCCCAAAUGGGUUUAGCUUGGUGGUGGGGUAACGGCUCACCAAGGCGACGAUCCCUAGCUGGUCUGAGAGGAGGACCAGCCACACGGGAAAUGAGACACGGUCCAGACUCCUACGGGAGGCAGCAGUGGGAAAUAUUGCACAAUGGGCGCAAGCCUGAUGCAGCCAUGCCGGGUGUAUGAAGAAGGCCUCCGGGGUGUAAAGUACUUUCAGCGGGGAGGCGUUACCCGCAGAAGAAGCACCGGCUAACUCCGUGCCAGCAGCCGCGGUAAUUC